rnacentral:tRNA from 1 species
CAAAAGUUAGUUUAUUCAAAACUUUAGGUUUGGAACCUAAAAUAGAGUCUAUCUCACUUUUGA